UAAUCCAGAGACCCACCUGCAACGCUAGC
rnacentral:piRNA from 1 species